GAGAAAGUAUGCAAGAACUGCUAAUUCAUGCCUCCAAGCUUAACAACUUGGCUUUCUCA
rnacentral:tRNA from 1 species